UCUCUCACCAGUUGCCCCCGGCAGCCUGGGAGAAGCACCCGCUCAGACCCUGACCUGACCUCCAUCACACACCCAGGUGUGGAGGCUCCGGGCAAUCUGAGCCCCACCACCAUGGGCUCUUCCCUCGGGGCAGGGGGCGGAGCCGCGCUGGGCCGCCUGGCCCUCCUCUGGGCCCUCGUGGCUCCAGGUAUCCAGCAGGACCUCAGGGUGCUGCAGCCGUCCGUGAUGGCGGGGCACGCGGGCAGAGCUGUCACCAUGUCCUGCCAGGUCAGCAGGUCUGUGGAUUACGUCCACUGGUUCCGCCAGCUGGAGGGCCAGGCCCCCGAGAGGCUUCUCUAUCUAGCCUUGUCCAAGCGGGAUGUGCAGUGGGAUUCGGUCCUAAGAGGUGAUAAAGUCAGCGCGGCCCGCGGCGCGGAUGGCAAGAGCUGCACCAUGUCCCUGAUGAAGCUGGCGAAGAGUGACGAGGGCGUGUACUACUGCGCUGCCUGGAGCAUGAUCUUUGGUGACGGAACAAAAGUUUUCGUCCUAGAUAAAAAACUUCCUGCAGAUACUUCCCCCAAACCCACAAUUUUUCUUCCUUCAAUUAAUGAAGUCAACCAUCAACAGGCUGCAACGUAUCUUUGUCUCCUGGAAAAUUUUUUCCCUGAUAUUAUUAAGGUUUCUUGGAAAGAAAAGAAUGGCAACAGGAUUCUGCCAUCCCAGCAGGGAAAUACCAUGAAGACCAAUGACACAUACAUGAAGCUCAGCUGGCUGACAGUGACAGAAAACUCCGUGAAGAAAGAGCACAUAUGUAUCGUCAAACAUGAGAAAAAUGCAGGAAGAAAAGAUCAAGAGAUUCUUUUUCCUGCAGUGAAAGAAGUUUUCACCCCAGUUGUCACUACUACUGAGCCUCCAAAUGAUUGUUCGAAAGAUGGAAGUGAAGUCACUGAUACUGAUUUUACAAAAGCUUGUGCAAGAGAUCAAGGUAAAGUUGCUAAUUCUACAAAAGCAUGUCUGAAAGAUGAAAACAACACCGUGCCGCUGCAGUUCACCUACAACUCUGCUUACUACACCUACCUUGUCCUCCUCCUCAAGAGUGCCGUCUACUUUGUCAUCACCUCCUUCUGUGUGCUUAGGAGAACAGGCGUCUGCUGUGACGGGACGAGCUCGUGACCGAGGGGACAACAAAGGGGUCAAUCUUCCUCCUUCAUCUAUUGUCCCAGAAACUCUCUACUGAAGACCCAGCCGGGCUUGCUUUCUGGGUUUGGGUUAUUUCAGACGCUGUGCAUAAUUUUCUAUCAUCGUGUAAGGGUUUUUCAGACCACUGGGCAGACAGUUUUCCUCUGUAACAAGGAAUUCUGCCAUUACUCAAAGGCACGGCCCAGGGCUCGUCCAGGGGAGCCUCUCCCACCACUGUCCCCACAAUCUCAUCAGCUUCUCCCCACCCCCAAGUCCUCAUGCCCCCCUAAGCACACACAGCGGGCAGUUCCCUGUUUGCUCCUCGAGCACCUCCACCGAGACCACGGCCCUGAUCUUCCCUGUCACACACCCUGGAGAUGCUGGCUUUGCUACUUGAAAUAAAUAAAUUUCUAAAAAGAAAUCAAAAGUC